CCCGCCAUUCUCUCAGGUGUCCUGAAGAGAGAAUCUUGAGAUGCCUCCUCUGUCAUUGCUGCUUCCCCUUCGCUUGGGGACCCCUUGACCAGUCUGAUGCAUGACGCAUCCCACGACCUGGCAGCGAUGAUUAAAGAUGUGAUUUCUGAGGAUCAGGACAUGGAGAUUUCAGAUGACUAUGCCAGCGACCGAGCCCUGUUUAAUGCAGGGAGCGUGCAUAUUCAGCGAUGCAUCUCAGCUUGCGUGCCUCCCAAGAUCUGGUGGGUUUUCUUUUCUUGCCUGUGCCCUCCUGCGUUCUCAUUCCCAUGGCAAUAAACAGGCUGCUACCUCCCGGGGAUCAUGUUACCUUCCCUUCACUUUUAUAAAUGCACAAUUGAGUCCCUGGAUCUUGAUUUAGGACUGAAAUUUGGCAGAGAGUUCAACUGCUCAUUUAUAAAGCGUGCAGGUUAUCAGGUAAAUCAGUGACCUCAUAUAUCAAACUCUUGGAAGGUCCUCCCACCAACGCCCACCACAUACCUGACUUAUUUGAAGAGUACAUCGCAGUUCCAAAAUGAAAAUGUUAUUCUGACUGAAUGGGGAAUUUACAGAAGGCCAUCUUCCUCUUUCUUCCAAUGACAGUUCACUUAGAAGACGGUCUGGAAAACACAGGAGGGAAUUUUUACGGUCAGCUGGGUCACAGAAUUCGCCAUCCCACCUUCAUCGCGCAAGCCUGUCUCCCUUG